rnacentral:rRNA from 1 species
AUUGAACGCUGGCGGCAGGCCUAACACAUGCAAGUCGAGCGGCUGAAGGGAGCUUGCUCCUGGAUUCAGCGGCGGACGGGUGAGUAAUGCCUAGGAAUCUGCCUGGUAGUGGGGGAUAACGUCCGGAAACGGGCGCUCAUACCGCAUACGUCCUGAGGGCGAACGUGGGGGAUCUUCGGACCUCACGCUCUCAGAUGAGCCUAGGUCGGAUUGGCUAGUUGGUGGGGUAAAGGCCUACCAAGGCGACGAUCCGUAACUGGUCUGAGAGGAUGAUCAGUCACACUGGAACUGAGACACGGUCCAGACUCCUACGGGAGGCAGCAGUGGGGAAUAUUGGACAAUGGGCGAAAGCCUGAUCCAGCCAUGCCGCGUGUGUGAAGAAGGUCUUCGGAUUGUAAAGCACUUUAAGUUGGGAGGAAGGGCAGUAAGUUAAUACCUUGCUGUUUUGACGUUACCAACAGAAUAAGCACCGGCUAACUUCGUG